CCAGUCUGCAUGGAGCCGACCUUGAAAUACCACCCUUUAAUGUUUGAUGUUCUAACGUGGACCCGUGAUCCGGGUUGCGGACAGUGUCUGGUGGGUAGUUUGACUGGGGCGGUCUCCUCCUAAAGAGUAACGGAGGAGCACGAAGGUUGGCUAAUCCUGGUCGGACAUCAGGAGGUUAGUGCAAUGGCAUAAGCCAGCUUGACUGCGAGCGUGACGGCGCGAGCAGGUGCGAAAGCAGGUCAUAGUGAUCCGGUGGUUCUGAAUGGAAGGGCCAUCGCUCAACGGAUAAAAGGUACUCCGGGGAUAACAGGCUGAUACCGCCCAAGAGUUCAUAUCGACGGCGGUGUUUGGCACCUCGAUGUCGGCUCAUCACAUCCUGGGGCUGAAGUAGGUCCCAAGGGUAUGGCUGUUCGCCAUUUAAAGUGGUACGCGAGCUGGGUUUAGAACGUCGUGAGACAGUUCGGUCCCUAUCUGCCGUGGGCGCUGGAGAACUGAGGGGGGCUGCUCCUAGUACGAGAGGACCGGAGUGGACGCAUCACUGGUGUUCGGGUUGUCAUGCCAAUGGCACUGCCCGGUAGCUAAAUGCGGAAGAGAUAAGUGCUGAAAGCAUCUAAGCACGAAACUUGCCCCGA
rnacentral:rRNA from 1 species